UGUCUUUAAUUGAAGAACAGCUGAAGAGAGACAGGAAAGGGGGGAGAGAGUGGGACGACAUGCAGCAAAGGGCCCUAGGGUUGGAAUCAAACCCGAGGCCACUGGCAAGG